AACGAACGCUGGCGGCAGGCUUAACACAUGCAAGUCGAACGCCUGGGAGCGAUCCCGGGAGUGGCAGACGGGUGAGUAACACGUGGGAACAUACCUUUGGUUCGGAACAACUCUGGGAAACUAGAGCUAAUACCGGAUAAGCCUCUGGAGCGAUUUGGGGGGAAAGGUUAGAUCUGCCUGAGGAUUGGCCCGCGUCCGAUUAGCUUGUUGGUGGGGUAACGGCUCACCAAGGCUUCGAUCGGAGCUGGUCUGAGAGGAUGGCCAGCCAC
rnacentral:rRNA from 1 species